UGUAUUGUCAUCAAAGUGGAUGUGUUGUAAUGCUUUGUUUUUAUUGGCAUUUUGCAGAUGAAAAUGGAAAUUAUCCACCCUUUAAAACCAGAGGGAUUUUGACUGGCAAGUGUAAUUAUUUCAGGGGUCAUGACUACAUGUAUUUGGUGAGAAUAAUGAAUAUGAAACGAUGACAUGUAUGAUGGCGAGUACUUUGUAGACAAAAUGCAUUGGGUGAAACUGAAACGGGUCAAACUGGUUGAAGGUUGUCAGUAUGUCAUUAAUUUGUUGUACCCAACCCGAACCUACCCAUUACUUGACCCGUCUACUGUGCCACCACUACUUCUUCGUAGAAAAUGCCAGUUGAUCUGUGAUUUUUGUUCUGCAACAGGUCCAACAUUUUAAAACUAAAGGUGGCAUUGCAUUGAACAACAACUUUGAGAGAAUGAGGUUACAUGUAUGCUUUCUAACUAUCCAUCCAUCAUCAGACCUUCAAAUCGCUCCACCGAUCUUUGUUUUAGUCUGACAUGAUGGUUUUUGUUGCUGUAUUUGAAUUAACCAUGUGGUCGACUUGAUUCGCCACAUGGUAAAGUUUUGAAGCUGUUAUAGCACGAGUUAGCAGGCUUGUCACGAGCACAGUUUUGCCUACCACGUUGUGAUUAUUUACAUGUAAAUGUUGGUUAUGAGAAGGUGCUGAAACGAAGGAGCCAACAACUAUGGAAGAGAAGCAACAUAAACAGCCUAUGGUCAAUAUACAAAGACGUCAAACUAAUGACAGCAGCGGAAAGAUUAUCAUUUUUAACAUACAUGUGUGAAUUUAUUCACGAAUAAUCCAAGAUACACUUGCGAGUGAAAACCAACUAUUGUCGCUCCUUAACAUAUGCCGGAUACAACAGGUUCAUGGCGCGCCCCACCAACUAUUGUAGCUGCUUAACAAAUGCCCGAUGCAACAGGUUCAUGGUGCGCCCAACGAAUGGCUAAGAAACGGAUUCAACUAUUAUGACUUUGUUGCAACUUAAACCUAUCAAAUACAUUAAUGAUACAAUGUUUGUAUGUAGUUC